UUACGGCCAUAUAUCACAUUGUAACACAGGUUUCCGUAUGAUCACCGAAGUUAAGCAACGUCGAGACUGGUCGGAACAUAGAUGGGGGACCGAUUGGAAAUACCAGGUGCUGUAAG